UUUCUAUUGUAUGAUCCUGAUUUUCCUAUUAUUUUAUUGUUUGAGCAUGAAUUUUGCUUUCUAUUUUCUAAUUCUUCAUACCAGUUCCAACCAUGGCGAACACACUUGUCACUAAGGCUAUGAGUUCUUAAGGUAUCUCAGGGUUUAUGUUCAAGGAAAUAAGUAGAGAAGAAUCAAUAUAUGGUUUGUGGAUAUUAUGUAAUUGUAGAUUUGUACUUUGUAGGAUAUUUCAGUUUUGUGGAUAUAUGUUAUUGUAAUUAAUUUUGUGAAACUAAUUGUAUGUUAUAUAAGACAAUUAAUUAAAAGUAAA